rnacentral:rRNA from 1 species
GACGAACGCUGGCGGCGUGCUUAACACACGCAAGUCGAACGGAAAGGCCUGCUUUCCCUUGUGGAUUGCGGGUACUCGAGUGGCGAACGGGUGAGUAACACGUGAGUGAUCUGCCCCCAACUUGGGUAUAAGCCUGGGAAACUGGGUCUAAUUCCCGAUAGGACUGCAGGGUGGUGCCUGUGGUGGAAAACGAUUUUCUAGUGGUUGGGGAUGAGCUCGCGGCCUAUCAGCUUGUUGGUGGGGUAAUGGCCUACCAAGGCGGCGACGGGUAGCCGGCCUGGGAGGGUGGACGGCCACAUUGGGACUGAGAUACGGCCCAGACUCCUACGGGAGGCAGCAGUGGGGAAUAGUGCACAAUGGGCGGAAGCCUGAUGCAGCGACGCCGCGUGGGGGAUGACGGCCUUCGGGUUGUAAACUCCUUUCGACCGCGAGGAAGCCACCUGGUUGGAAGGGUGGUGACGGUAGUGGUAGAAGAAGCACCGGCUAACUACGUG